rnacentral:lncRNA from 1 species
UUGUUAUCAACGCUUAACCACCCACGCCCGUUAUUCUGAAAAUCAUAACCAUUGGUUCCAUAACCAUAACAAGAUCCGUAAGCGUUUCCAAAUUGACCAUAGAACUUGUUUGCAUACACUUUAUCCAUAUAUUCAGUUGAUGUGUACAUACCGGAAGCUGAAUUUGGUCCCUGUCAAGCAUGUAAACGUCAAAGAUCAUUAAGAUUCACCAAAUAAUUACGUGAAAAAAAGUAAAAAAUAAACUUGUAAUACCAUGAGAUGAUUCUGGAUUUUGGAUGCAACACCGUUGUUUUUAGUUUGCAAGACCGGUGUUUCCCUUUAAACCCGCACCGUUUCCAACACGUCCUUUAG